rnacentral:rRNA from 1 species
UACGUAGGGUGCGAGCGUUGUCCGGAAUCAUUGGGCGUAAAGCGCGUGUAGGCGGCCCGAUAAGUCCGCUGUGAAAGUCCAGGGCUCAACCCUGGAAUGCCGGUGGAUACUGUCGGGCUCGAGUCCGGAAGAGGCGAGUGGAAUUCCUGGUGUAGCGGUGAAAUGCGCAGAUAUCAGGAGGAACACCAAUGGCGAAGGCAGCUCGCUGGGACGGUACUGACGCUGAGACGCGAAAGCGUGGGGAGCAAACAGG